UGGGGGAUAUUGCACAAUGGGGGGAACCCUGAUGCAGCGACGCCGCGUGAGCGAUGAAGUAUUUCGGUAUGUAAAGCUCUGUCAGCAGGGAAGAAAAUGACGGUACCUGACCAAGAAGCCCCGGCUAACUACGUGCCAGCAGCCGCGGUAAUACGUAGGGGGCAAGCGUUAUCCGGAUUUACUGGGUGUAAAGGGAGCGUAGACGGCGGUGCAAGUCUGGAGUGAAAGGCGGGGGCUCAACCCCCGGACUGCUUUGGAAACUGUACUGCUUGAGUGUCGGAGAGGCAAGUGGAAUUCCUGGUGUAGCGGUGAAAUGCGUAGAUAUCAGGAGGAACACCAGUGGCGAAGGCGGCUUGCUGGACGAUGACUGACGUUGAGGCUCGAAAGCGUGGGGAGCAAACAGGAUUAGAUACC
rnacentral:rRNA from 1 species